rnacentral:misc_RNA from 1 species
GAUGAAGAACGUAGCGAAAUGCGAUAAGUAGUGUGAAUUGCAGAAUUCAGUGAAUCAUCGAAUCUUUGAACGCACAUUGCGCCCCUUGGUAUUCCAUGGGGCAUGCCUGUUCGAGCGUCAUCUGCACCCUCAAGCACUGCUUGGUGAUGGGCGUCUGUCCCGCCUCUGCGCGCGGACUCGCCCCAAAGGUAUUGGCAGCGGUCCUGUCCGCCUCUCGCGCAGCACAGAUGCGCUUCUCGAGGCUUCGGGGCCCGCGUCCAUGAAGCUCUUUUACCACGUUUGACCUCGGAUCAGGUAGGGAUACCCGCUGAACUUAAGCAUAUCAAUAAGCGGAGGA